UGGAAAUGAAAGGCUGGAUAUUUUCAAGAUAGCAUAUGCUCAUAAUAAUUAUAUACUGUACAGGCAUUGAAUGAUUUUAUUCUGGCCGUUGUGGUUGCGCUGCCGUACUAUAUCGUAAGGUCGCUAUUGUCAAAGGCUGGACGGUAAUAAAAACGAGUAAAAGUUCCGGACCAUACAGCCAUUUUGAUGUCUUCCUUCAAGGACAACAUGCCCUACAGCUUUG